rnacentral:rRNA from 1 species
UACGUAGGUGGCAAGCGUUGUCCGGAAUUACUGGGCGUAAAGGGCGAGUAGGCGGCCAGUUGUGUCAGAUGUGAAAGGCUAGGGCUCAACCCUAACAGUGCAUUUGAAACUGACUGGCUUGAGUGUAGGAGAGGGAAGCGGAAUUCCUAAUGUAGCGGUGAAAUGCGUAGAUAUUAGGAGGAACACCAGUGGCGAAGGCGGCUUCCUGGCCUAUAACUGACGCUGAUGCGCGAAAGCGUGGGGAGCAAACAGG